CCCCCAGAAGUUGUGCUUAUGGUGCGUACCAUCGCACUAUUCAACACGGGGCUAAGAAAAGAUAAGAGUUUACGGACGAAUCAAGUAACUAGAACGAAUAGAGUCUAGAGGUGAGGAACUAGAGGGGGAAAAAGACGUCCCUCGUCCAGCCUAAUAAAUGGCGUUCGGACCUCGAUCAACCCUAAGAAGUGAGUUUUAGUGCUGCACGACAAGAAUUGGCCUGAAGAGAAAGACAUUUAAAACCAAGAACCAGACUUUGUGUGAACAUAGAACAUAUGCUCACUUGUUAAAAGUUGUACGAAGUGCAAGAGAAACUUAUUAGAGAAACAUCUGCGUAGGACACAGAGCUAUCACUGAGUCAACCUGAUACCUGGACAAUUAAUUCUAUAAAAAAAAAUGUGUAUUCCACUGUUUGAUCUAUACUAAGUUAUUUGUAGUUCAUAUCAUUUGUCACAUUUAUUUUUUUAAAUUGUCAUCCAGUAUAACAUACUUUGUAAAUCUGAGUCCAUCGAUUUUGACCCACGUCCUUUAUUAAAGAUAAACUUGCAACAAUGUUAAGUCGGUUGUGUUGGUUAUCUCUCAUUGGCUGGGUAGCUGUGUUGACCCUAGAGCAGGCUGUGUCGCCGAAUGCAGAUUUGGAGCAGAAACCUGGUGUUGAUAUAAUGAAACAGGCGGUGAACGAAGUGGUGAACGAGCAGAAAACUCAAGAAGGUGUCAAAGAAAGGGGAGACGAAUCAUUCAGUCAUUACCUGUCAUCACCUUUGAGGCGUCUUUCCAACCAAGGCCUCGUAAGGAAAAGUAGAGAAUUCUUUGAUAAGAGGUCGCAGCAGAGAGCAGAGAUAAGGAAAGGGGACAUGAAUCAUUGACACAUUCAUUACCUGUUACGUCUUUCCAACUAAGGACUUGUAAGAAAAUAUGGACAUUUCUAAACUUAUCUUUUUAUCUUAUAAAAUACAAACGUUACUUAAAAGAAGAAGACUAUUUCGUUCUAUUAUUAGGUCAAUCUAAUCAUACAUGUUAAUCGAUGACUUAAAUUCUGCCAAGUCAUUGGUUUUCCUGAAUGACUCAGGAAACCCAUUGUAAAAUUUUUGUUUGUUUCACAUGUUUCGGAUGUUCCUUCAGAGUUGAAGAUAAUUACUUCCUAGUCCAAACCUCCCGCAGGACGACGGGGGAUGGGAGCGGGCAGGGUUUGAGCCCGGGACCAUCGAUAAAUCUGAAUGACAGUCCAGCGCGCAAACCGCACGACCAGGCAGCCAUCCGAAACAUGCAUGCUCUUAUAGCACUAGUAAAGAAGAAGUAUUUGUACACAUUUGUCCUAGCCUAUGGAACAAGAAGUGUGCCUUCAUUUUUGUCUGUGUUUUAUCUAAGAAUUGUUCCAUCUAAGAAUUGUUCCAGAGAUGCAGGGGCUCCUGUUGAAAUAUUUGGUCUGAAAGAAACUGUUAAGCCUUUCUCUCCUAAUUAACCCUACCAUCGUUGAUUUGACCCUCAUUAAAUUAAAUUAAUAUUUGGUUUUAGAAACGUGUAUUUGUGUUAUAUAUAAAAGGAUCAUCCAUUCUCCUAUAAUUGUAUACCUAAAGUAACGUUUUCUGAUUACAAACAAAAAUGUUAUGGAAGUUUAAUCAUAACACGGUAGAAUGUACAAGUGUGAAAAAUGAACAAUUCUGUCAGAGCAUGGAAAAUAAUUACAGAGAUAAGGAAUUAAGAGUUAAGGCUCAAACGUAAGAACAUAUUUAAUUAAAAGCCCAUUAAUAGGAAAUAGGCAAAAACAAAACGAUUUUAUGCCUCUUUUUUUUGGUUAUUUCUUUGUAAUUUAUAAAAAAAAAAACGAAUCGCAAUUUUUACCCAAUAUAUUUUUAAAAGACAACAUAUCAAAAAGUACAUCGUAAUUCCUUUUCUUUUUUAGAACUCUUUUUUUUUUGUUUUGCGUCAUUCCUCCUUGCUUUUUCACAUUAUAGAAAAACAAAUAUAUUUGUAAAUAAUAUAUUUCUAUUCGCAUCAUUUCAUGAUUCAAUUUUUCAUGUUUCAAUCGUCAACCAGAGAGGUUUAUGGCUUUUUUUUUUUUAACGAAGUCAGUGGCGUAACUAAGGGGGGGGGAGGGGGGGGGAGAAAUUUAAAAUCCCCCCGGGCCCCCACCUAGGGGGGGCCCCCAAAUGGAUGUCCGAAAUUUAUUUAUAAAUACAUAAAUUAAUAUAUUUGAUUGACAAAUAGUGUCAACGUUUAUGAUUUAUGGAUUAAAAAUUUAUCACAAAGACUAAACCUAGAUCUAGGUCUAUCAGUAUGUUGACAUUUUAAAAAUAUUUUUUCCCACAGAGAUCAAAGUUUUUUUAAAAGUCAGUUUUACAUUUUAAACUUUGUUGCCACGAAUAAAACUGCAUGAUAUACAGCAAA